rnacentral:rRNA from 1 species
UACGUAGGUGGCGAGCGUUGUCCGGAUUUACUGGGCGUAAAGAGCGCGCAGGCGGUCGGCCAAGUCGAGUGUGAAAGCCCCCGGCUCAACUGGGGAGGGUCACUUGAUACUGGUCGACUCGAAGGCGGGAGAGGGAAGUGGAAUUCCCGGUGUAGUGGUGAAAUGCGUAGAUAUCGGGAGGAACACCAGUGGCGAAGGCGGCUCACUGGCCCGUAACUGACGCUGAGGUGCGAAAGCGUGGGGAGCAAACAGG